ACUCCUACGGGAGGCAGCAGUAGGGAAUAUUGGUCAAUGGGCGAAAGCCUGAACCAGCCAUGCCGCGUGUCAGAUGAAGGUCCUCUGGAUUGUAAAUGACUUUUCUACGGGAAGAAUGAGCCGUCUGCGGACGGAAGUUGACGGUACCGUAGGAAUAAGCACCGGCUAACUACGUGCCAGCAGCCGCGGUAAUACGUAGGGUGCAAGCGUUGUCCGGAUUUACUGGGUUUAAAGGGUACGUAGGCGGUUGUGCCAAGUCUGGGGUGAAAGUUUGCAGCUCAACUGUAAAAUUGCCUUGGAUACUGGUCGGCUAGAGUAGUGGAGCGGUGGCUGGAAUUUAUAGUGUAGCGGUGAAAUGCUUAGAUACUAUGAGGAACACCAAUUGCGAAGGCAGGUCACUGGUCACUAACUGACGCUGAGGUACGAAAGUGUGGGAUCAAACAGGAUUAGAUACCCUGGUAGGAUAGCG
rnacentral:rRNA from 1 species